AACCCAUGGUGAGGGAACCUUCUCAAUAAGUUCUUGUAUCUCUCCCAUGCAUCGUAAAGUGUUUCUAAAUCUAUCUGCACAAAAGAAGAGAUAUCAUUACGCAAUUU
rnacentral:snoRNA from 1 species